UCAUGGUGCAGGCGGUCAAACCACCACCUCUUUGAAGAGACCAAGCAGCUUGAUGACGACUGACUGGUUCCUUAUACUCCGGACCUCGUCCCGGAGCAGAGGACGGACCAAAGGCCUACAGCGCAGCAGACUAGAGACUCUGUGGAACCGGUUCAUUUAAGUUGACCUCUCCUUCAGGCGACUUAAAGGGAGACCAGAUGUGCGGCAGCUGGGUGUCGUGGUGCAGAGACCCAACGCUGUACUGAACUACACCAGUGUGUCCUACUCCCAUAAACCCUGAGGAUCCCUGGCUACCCCAGGACUUUAAUCCACACCCAGCAUUAACACACAGUGCACACUCUAUAGAGCAUGUAAGUCCGCCCCUUGCGGCGGGACCUCGUGAGAUCGUAAGAUAUGACUGGGUUUCAAUGGAGAGAAAGUCAUUAUUUUCUCCAUUAUGUUGCACCACAUUUUGGGGGAAGAAUGUUUGAAUCAAUCUUUGUCAUUUAUUUCUGUACUCCACAUCUGUAAUCCCAGCUGUUGUAUUUUAACACGGUAGCUGGCAACCCUCUUUAUAGGGAGCGACUAGAGGGACGAGGCUGGAAGCAAACCUGAGCCUGGAUCUUAACCUUCUUUCUAAACCUAAUGCUGCAAUUUAACCGCAAAUAAAGUGAGGCCUAAAGUAACUUGACUCUCUUACCUAAACUUGCUUGCCUAAACUCGCUUGCAUAAAACCUAAACUCGCUUGCAUAAAACCUGAACUUGCUUGGCUAAACUCGCGUCGCUUGCCUAAUACCUGAACUUGCUUGCCUAAACUCGCUUGCCUAAUACCUGAACUCGCUUGCAUAAAACCUAACUUGCUUAGCUUGACUCGUUGCCUGUACUCGCUUGGCUAAACUCGCUUGCCUAAUACCUGAAGUCGCUUGCAUAAAACCUAAACUUGCUUAGCUUGACUCGCUUGCCUGUACUCGCUUGGCUAAACUCGCUUGCCUAAUACCUGAAGUCGCUUGCCUGAAGUCGCUUGCCUAAUACCUGAAGUCGCUUGCCUAAACUCACUUGCCUAAAACCUAAACUUGCUUGUCCAAACACGUUACACAAAGUUAACCAUCCAUAAUCUUUAACCCAAACCAGACUUGUCCCUGGGUCGCUCCACUUUAAUUUAGAAGUUUCUUCUUUUACCUCAUCUGCGUUUUGAGUUUCAUUCUUUGAGGGCUUGAAGUGCUUUGGAGGAUAUUUGAACCUUUGUUUGCCGCAUUUGUUCGCCAAAUGUUCAGUGUCCUUGCAUGUAAUGUCUAUGGUCUGACGAUAAUCUGACCUCUUCAUGAAGCAGAAUGUGUGUGAAUGUUGUCCCGUGAGCUCCAGGCUCUCUGUGGGCCUGUCGACGUCUAUUUAGCAAAAGGUUGGAGUGAAAUUCAUUUUUGUGCCAUUUUCAUGUGUUCCUGAGUAUUUCAGACCUGUGGUGUUUCACAUGAGACCUUAAUGGGAACUUUUCUUUUUCUGCCUGCAUACGUAAUGCCUACAUUAGUAGGGUGAUCACUGUUGAUCCCAAUAAUGAUCAUUAACCACCUCAUUCUUUUAUGAUUUUUUUCCGAUAAGGAUUACAAAUCAUGUAAUUUAUGAGCAUAUUUGCAAAUGGCUCCAAAUAUCAGACGUGUAAAAACUAAUGAAAUGUAACCUGCUUGAUUUAAAGAAAAUAAAACAUCCAAAUAUUAUAAA